UACGUAGGGAGCAAGCGUUGUCCGGAAUCAUUGGGCGUAAAGCGCGCGUAGGCGGCCUCGUAAGUCCGUUGUGAAAGUCAAAGGCUCAACCUUUGAAAGCCGAUGGAUACUGUGAGGCUAGAGUCCGGAAGAGGAGAGUGGAAUUCCUGGUGUAGCGGUGGAAUGCGCAGAUAUCAGGAGGAACACCAAUAGCGAAGGCAGCUCGCUGGGACGGUACUGACGCUAAGGCGCGAAAGCGUGGGGAGCGAACAGG
rnacentral:rRNA from 1 species